rnacentral:rRNA from 1 species
UUAUACCUACGGGGGGCAGCAGUGGGGAAUAUUGCACAAUGGGCGAAAGCCUGAUGCAGCAACGCCGCGUGAACGAAGAAGGCUCUUGGGUCGUAAAGUUCUGUUCUGAGGGAAGAAGAAAGUGACGGUACCUCAGGAGAAAGCCCCGGCUAACUACGUGCCAGCAGCCGCGGUAAUACGUAGGGGGCAAGCGUUAUCCGGAUUUAUUGGGUUUAAAGGGUGCGUAGGCGGUCGGAUAAGUUAGAGGUGAAAUCCCGAGGCUCAACUUCGGAAUUGCCUCUGAUACUGUUCGGCUAGAGAGUAGU